rnacentral:lncRNA from 1 species
UCCUUUUGGCAGGUUCGAGAGCGUCGAACAGACGUCGAACGGACAGAGCCUCCCCUAUCCGCCCAAGGCUCAACAACAAGUAUCAAUAGAGUAUAAAGUUUGCAUAAGCGGAAGCAUACACAAUGGCUUGCACGAGGGCAAGCAAUAGCCAAUAGUGAAAGUAAAUAACUACACUUAGGAAAUCAAUUACAAUUUUGUAUCAUUUCUUUU